CGUUAUUUCCUCGGAGAGGAGAGAUUUAAGAAAGUAGCUGAUGGCGUGGUGGCUCUUUUUUGCUUGGAUGGUGCCCUAGGCACACUAGGUGGGGGUGAAAGAGUUGCUCCUUCCUACGUUCCCAGGAGAAAGUUCAGCCUAGGCUACCUCAUGCCCUUUCUUUCAUGAAGACAGAAGAGUCUGCAUGUGUGUGCUCACCCAAGCAAGGUCACAUGGGGAGCCAUCAGGAGACUGCUGAGAGUGAUUCAGAGCAAGCCUGGCCACUUCUCCUCCUCAGCCUUGCCAAGAUAACCAUCUCUGCUGGGAAGAGCCAAGGACUUGUGUCCUCUCCUCCUGGAGCAGCUCAGCAGAGGAUCAUCAUCUCUGGCAUGGGUCACCCAACUGCAGAUCCCUGGAAGAUGGACUGGUGCUCAGACAUGGACCUGAAAGCUUUCCUUGUUCCUGCAGUGUCACCGCUGAACGCUCACCAUUGGUGUGUCCUGGAGAGAGCAUGAAAUAACUCUAAGAGGGCCAGGGUGCCUGAAAGGUGUGCAACACAAAUCUAAUCCUGAACAAAAGUUGCUUGAAUUGCCUCUUAUCUGAGAAAUGCAGAAUGAAACAACUGCUAGAAGUGCCACAUGGGAUUCUCCAAUUGCUGGUCCACUU